UAAUGGAUCUAACUUUCAAGGAAGUGCAUUUGGGCUUCAGUUGCAAUCCGAAGUAGCCAAAUAAAGGCCAAAUUGGAUUAAGGGGACGAAGGACCCAUGAAGAACUUUCUCCCCCGGGAAGGGCUACCGACUCUGACAAAUUUGCGCCUCAGCAGAGAUUUCUUCCCCAGAAAAAAUAGCCUAAGAUUUCAACCUAUUCGCGCAGCUUCUAAAGGAUUCGCAUCCCUUCGCUUACUCCGACAUUGACACGCUCGGAUUAAUGGAGAGGACGAAUUUCAAGGCGCUCGAUCUGGAAUCUUAAAGCGAUAGAUCCGGGCGUUUUUACAUCGAAGCCGACGGUCUGCUAGUUCCCGGGUUUUCUGAUUCUAAAUUAAAAGCCUUCUCUUAGGAUCGAGUCAAUUCUUGACGAUUGCAGUUGUUCCUUCACAGAUUAAAUUACUCCUAGGAUUCUGAAUGUUUGAAAAGUUUCUUGAAGAAGAAAACAAGUGCAGAGAAGAGAAAAGAGCCAAGGGGAAAGUGCCUUCUAGAGAGAGGAAACAGAUGAGCAGAUGCAACAAAAGAUCCCAGAAGUUGAAGCUAGAGGACUCAAAUUGGAAAGGAAAGUUCCAAGCCAGGUUUAUCUCCUUAUCAGUUAAUAAAGCACUUUGAUAUCUUUUCCUGAGAUCUGGGCACAGAAGAAGAUAGAAGGCUCUUUUAAGAAAAUUUGGGGAGGGAGGAGGAGGGAGAGGCAAAUGUUGAAUUUUGAUUGAAUAAGAUUGGCUCACCUUCAUUGAAACUACUGCCUUUGAGCCCAGCUUGACUCCUGGUGACUUAAUGGACAAUCCACACAGUUUUGUCUUUCAGAAGUGGAUUGCCACUGCCGUCUUUCAAGGCUGCCCCCCCCCACCCCCUUACAGGGCUAGCCUAUGACUCUGGUAUUCUCCAGAAAUCUCCCAUCCAAGUACCAACCAGGCUUGACCCUGCUUAGCUUCUGAAUCUAGACAAGGUCAGUCAGAGAUGAAGACAAAAACUCUACUUUGAAAAACAAAGAGAAGAGGACAAAAACCCCUGAUUUGAAAGAUAAAUUUAUAAACCAAGCCCUUCAACAGUUAAAUAACUUUAAUCCACAAACCCAUGAGUCUGAAGGUUGAGGGCUAAUCCCUUUUAUUAAGGAGCACUAAUUACAUUGGUUUAGCUGUGAAUAAUAACUGCAGAAAAAUUGGGUGAAUAGGAGCUUUCAUUUAGUCAGAUAGAAUUACUUUUACUGCUCAUGGAAUGAGAAAGAAUACUAGGAGAAUAAUGGAUACAGUUUCAGAAAGGAAGCAACUAUAUUCCCUAAACUAUUAUUGAUUGCAACAUCAUUGUAAUCUUUGGUCUAAUUUAAUGAUUAACUAUGUAGAAGUCAUAAAUUUCUACUUCACACAAGCACACCGUAAGUGUAUUUGCAACUAUAAUUGAUUCCAAUAAAAAGUUUAGGUGA